CUACGGGAGGCUCCAGCUGAGGAUCUUUUACAAUGCACGAAAGUGUGAUAGAGCGAGCCAGAGUGUUGUUCUUAGAACAACUUUUAUCUGCUGUAAAAAGGCAGAUGAAUAAGGACUGGGCAAGACCGGUGCCAGCCGCGCGGUAAUACCGGCGGUCCAAGUUGCAUCCAUUUUUAUUGGGUCUAAAACAUCCGUAGCUUGCUUUGUAAGUUUCUUGUGAAAUCUCAUGUCUCAAACAUGAGGCUUGCAAGAAAUACUGCAUAGCUAGAGACCGGAAGACGUAAGGAGUAUGAUUGAGGUAGCGGUAAAAUGUGUUAAUCUUGAUCAGACUAACAACGGCGAAGGCACCUUACGAGUACGGAUCUGACAGUGAGGGAUGAAGGCCAGGGGCGCAAAACGGAUUAGAUACCCCAGUAGUC
rnacentral:rRNA from 1 species